AUCCCUUUGGCCGUGGCUCCAUGUAUACCGCAUUCACUUAUUUUUGAUUCCAUAUAAGCCAAGCAUCUGCCCCUGAAGAGUGUGACACACACGAAACGCGUCGGGCCAAUACGGAUGCUAUAUAUUUUAUUACAAUAUUCUAAUUGAUCUGAUCAUAUUUAUACAUGCUUUUACCAGUCGUUUUUACCUUUACAUAUUCGCCUAGACUGUUACCUUGACAUCUGUACAUAUGUAUAUUCACCCCAUGCACUCAUUUAUCCAUGCGGAUGAUCAUGUGACAUCCGGUCAAGCAUUGUUGUAUCUCUGCUACCCCCAUUGUAUCUGCACAUAUUAUGUGCUCUAAUAUGAGGUAAUGUCAUUUAUAUCUGAAAUGUAUGUAUUUCAUUUACACGACCUCUGGAUGUUGAUAGGUGUUUUGCAAAUGUGUGACCAAUAAAUCUGUACGUUUUUUACUACCCGC